rnacentral:rRNA from 1 species
AGUCACUGACAUUAGAUACCCCCUGUAGUCCAGGGUGUAAACGCUGCAGACUUGGUGUUGGAAAUCCUUCGAGGGUAUUCAGUGCCGGAGAGAAGUUGUUAAGUCUGCUACUUGGGGAGUACGUCCGCAAGGAUGAAACUUAAAAGGAAUUGGCGGGGGAGCACCGCAACGGGAGGAGCGUGCGGUUUAAUUGGAUUCAACACCGGAAAACUCACCAGGGGAGACUGUUACAUGAAACCCAGACUAAUGAUCUUGGUUGAUUUUCAG